GCUGCUUCCUGUUGGCUUCAGCUGUUUGGAGUUUCCAUUUUCUAAACUUCUACAUUCUGAACCUUCUUCAGCUCUGAACAGAUGAUGAAACACUGAAUGGGUUUAAGGUCACACUUUGUCUAAUAAACUCACAUGUUUCAUUUUUUUAUACAGAUUGAGGAACUGUGAUUUGUCAGAGAUCAGCUGUGAUUAUCUGGCAGCAGCUCUGAAGUCCAACCCCUCCCAUCCGAGUGUGCUCGAUUUGAGUGGACACUACAACAAUCUGCAGGAUUCAGGAGUGAAACAGCUGUGUGUUCUUCUGGAGAAUCAACGAUGUCGAUUUGAAACUCUGAGAUUGGGGAACUGUGGUUUGUCAAAGAUCAGCUGUGAUUAUCUGGCAGCAGCGCUGAAGUCCAACCCCUCCCAUCUGAGAGAGCUGGACCUGA